rnacentral:lncRNA from 1 species
CACCAUUCUGCUUUGUGAAAAGUACACACAAAAGAAAAAGAAGCACUCAGAUGAGGGGAAAGAAUUUGAGCAGAUUGAACAGGAAAUCAGAUGAUAGCAAUGGUAUAGAAAAUAAUGUCCCCAGGCAUAGAAAAAAUGAGUCUCUGGGCCAGUGAAUACAAAACAUCAUGUCGAGAAUCAUUGGAAGAUAUACAGAGUUCGUAUUUCA